AAUUGGAGGGCAAGUCUGGUGCCAGCAGCCGCGGUAAUUCCAGCUCCAAUAGCGUAUAUUAAAGUUGUUGCAGUUAAAAAGCUCGUAGUUGAAUUUCGGGAUCAAUAUUUCGGUCAUGCCGUUGGUAUGCACUGUUAUCAUUGAUUUCUCACCUUCUAAAGAACCGUAAUGCCAUUAAUUUGGUGUUACGGGGAAUUAGGACUGUUACCUUGAAAAAAUUAGAGUGUUUAAAGCAGGCUCACGCUUGAAUACAUUAGCAUGGAAUAAUGAAAUAGGACAUCCGAUUCUAUUUUGUUGGUUUCUAGGAUCGAUGUAAUGAUUAAUAGGGGUAGUUGGGGGCAUUAGUAUUCAAUUGUCAGAGGUGAAAUUCUUGGAUUUAUUGAAGACUAACUACUGCGAAAGCAUUUGCCAAGGAUGUUUUCAUUAAUCAAGAACGAAAGUUAGGGGAUCGAAGACGAUCAGAUACCGUCGUAGUCUUAACCAUAAACUAUGCCGACUAGGGAUCGGAUGAUGUUAAUUUUUUAAUGACUCAUUCGGCGCCUUACGGGAAACCAAAGUGU
rnacentral:rRNA from 1 species